CUCCCUGUAUAUGUAGUAGCAUCCCAGUCAGCCGUAGGUAUGUGGGAAGCUUGUCUAACCCCUCCACUGCUCUUUCUUCUCGUUUCCAGGAUUUGCCUGUUAAAUUUCCAGCUGGUCAGCCAGUUUGCUGCUCACUCUAAAGACAACUGCAGUCUCAGGAAGAUUAGCCCUGAGCUAACAUCUGCCGCCAAUCCUCCUCUUUUUGCUGAGAUUUCCAGACUGGCUCUGAGCUAACAUCUGCCGCCAAUCCUCCUCUUUUUGCUGAGAUUUCCAGACUAGCUCUGAGCUAACAUCCAUGCC
rnacentral:lncRNA from 1 species